rnacentral:lncRNA from 1 species
CUAUACAUGCCACUAUAACCAAAAUUAAACAACCGAAAGUACCAAAAGAGCCGAUGGAUAGUGUGAUAUAGCUCCGACAAGCUUCCAACAGGAACGAGCUUCUGAUUCACUAUAAAACACAGAAAAUAACAUAGAGUAAACAUUUAAGCUUAGUAAGUUCGUAUAACUUCAAACAUAACUCACCAUUUAAUCACAAAAUAGAUAAGAUAAAC